UUUCUCAUAUAUUUAGCUCACACAAACACAAACAAAGAACAGCUGAUGACGUUUGUUAUUUUGUGCGCGUCGCUUAUUUUAGACUUUUUUCGCACAAAACAAAAAUCUUAAAUGAAAACUAUUUUUUACGGCCUUAGCAUAAAUAAAGGCGCUACUUGUAUAUGUGAGGUUCCCAUAUCCGCAACGCAUCCAUUUUCACACAAAUCUUUAGUCUCUCUCCAAAAACAAUAACAAUGUAACCGUUUGCCGAAUGGGAGAGACGAGUGCGGCUAUCUCUGUUGCACUUUCUGCGCUGGCUCAGCUGUUUUCGAUUUCUUAGUUACGGGAGAAUCGCACUCAGUCAGUUUGUUUUGAAAAGGGGAUUUCCAAAAAUUGUAUCUUAGGUAUAUUUUGUUAAGCUACAUUAUUUAAAAAAAAAUUUGUGCUAAAAUUGACAUUUCCUAGAGAAAAGCUUUUACCAAACAUUUAAAAUGAUACCAAUUUAUUAUCCAAAAAAAAGAUAAAUUGUUUUAAAAAAAAAGAAGCGGAAAGUAAAGUAAAAGAAAGAAAAGUUAAAUUUAAAAUUAGGUCAUAUCGAAAAUAAUUGAAAAUGUUAAACUAAGUGAAAUGUUCUCCUUUUGCAACAAGUUGGUGAAUUGCAAUAUAACAGUGUGUGUGUGUGUGUGUGUGUGUGUAAAUGG